rnacentral:rRNA from 1 species
UACGAAGGGGGCUAGCGUUGCUCGGAAUCACUGGGCGUAAAGGGCGCGUAGGCGGCGUUUUAAGUCGGGGGUGAAAGCCUGUGGCUCAACCACAGAAUGGCCUUCGAUACUGGGACGCUUGAGUAUGGUAGAGGUUGGUGGAACUGCGAGUGUAGAGGUGAAAUUCGUAGAUAUUCGCAAGAACACCGGUGGCGAAGGCGGCCAACUGGACCAUUACUGACGCUGAAGGCGCGAAAGCGUGGGGAGCAAACAGG